rnacentral:rRNA from 1 species
AUUGAACGCUGGCGGCAGGCUUAACACAUGCAAGUCGAGCGGUAACAGAGAGAAGCUUGCUUCUCUGCUGACGAGCGGCGGACGGGUGAGUAAUGCCUAGGAAUCUGCCUAGUAGUGGGGGAUAACUUGCCGAAGGGUAAGCUAAUACCGCAUACGUCCUACGGGAGAAAGGAGGGGACCUUCGGGCCUUUCGCUAUUAGAUGAGCCUAGGUCGGAUUAGUUAGUUGGUGAGGUAAUGGCUCACCAAGACCGCGAUCCGUAACUGGUCUGAGAGGAUGAUCAGUCACACUGGAACUGAGACACGGGCCAGACUCCUACGGGAGGCAGCAGUGGAGAAUAUUGGCCAAUGGGGGGAACCCUGAUCCAGCCAUGCCGCGUGUGUGAAGAAGGUCUUAGGAUUGUAAAGCACUUUAAGUUGGGAGGAAGAGCAGUUAACUAAUAUUUGACUGUUUUGACGUUACCGACAGAAUAAGCACCGGCUAACUUCGUGCCAGCCGCCGCCGUAA